GGCGGAUGUACCCAAGUGGAUCAGGGC
rnacentral:tRNA from 1 species